GGCAACAAAUUAUUUCGAAAAUCAAUAAUUUAAAGAAACAUAUGUUGCAGGGCGCAUAUUGAGGAUAUUAAACACUUCUGCUAUGAAAUUGAAAGAUUAAACAGCUGGGAUCAUAUUUUUUAAAAGAAAAUGUCUCUACAAGAUAGUUACCGGCUCGGAGAGAAAGGCGUGAAAAAUAUGUGUAAAGUUUCAUAAUACAAACGUGUCCUUCCCACCAAGUAUCAGAAACAAGUAAUAUACCAGACGGUAUUAAAGAUGAAGCCGUUUUUAUUAACAUAACAAGCAUCAAUUACAUGUCAAUAUCGAAGUAUAUAUUAAAGUUAUUUAUGGAUGAAAUUAUGAAAUCGAAAAAUAGCUGAGACUUUAAAAAAGUGGACUCAAUAUAAACGGGCGAACGGCCGUCAAUUGAUUGAUAUGGGUUUUAUUGUCCGAAAUAAACACGGACCAUGUUUCAUUGAGUGUGGUGACAAAUCAAGGAACAUUUUGACGUGAAUAAAAAAAUCUAUGAAAUUUCGGGGAACUUUUAUGAAGGAACUAUAAGAUUCAGUAUACAAAGAUUUGAAAAAGAAAAAAAUACAUUAAAUCUGUUAUGGUGUCUUCAUGGCUAUUUGGCCGAUAUACAAUUAAAGGCUCACAUAAGGUUUUUUAUAUAUAUUAAUGAAACCAUGCAAACCUUGACCUCACAUAUAGAAUACCUAUCAAAACGGAGCGAGCCAAUACAACCAUUUAUCCUGGUUCCAGGAAACCCAA